AGCAGCCGCGGUAAUUCCAGCUCCAAUAGCGUAUAUUAAAGUUGUUGCAGUUAAAAAGCUCGUAGUUGAAUUUCGGGAUCAGUUGGUCGGUCGUGCCUCGGUACGUACUGGUCAAAUUGAUUCCUACCUUCUGACGAACCACGAUGUCAUUAAUUUGGUGUCGCGGGAAAUCAGGACUGUUACUUUGAAAAAAUUAGAGUGUUUAAAGCAGGCUCGCGCUUGAAUACAUUAGCAUGGAAUAAUGAAAUAGGACGUUUGAUUCUAUUUUGUUGGUUUCUAGGAUCGACGUAAUGAUUAAUAGGGAUAGUUGGGGGCAUUAGUAUUCAAUUGUCAGAGGUGAAAUUCUUGGAUUUAUUGAAGACUAACUACUGCGAAAGCAUUUGCCAAGGAUGUUUUCAUUAAUCAAGAACGAAAGUUAGGGGAUCGAAGACGAUCAGAUACCGUCGUAGUCUUAACCAUAAACUAUGCCGACUAAGGAUCGGAUGAUGUUAAUUUUUAAUGACUCAUUCGGCGCCUUAAC
rnacentral:rRNA from 1 species